AUACGUAGGUGGCAAGCGUUGUCCGGAUUUACUGGGUGUAAAGGGCGUGUAGGCGGAGAUGCAAGUCAGGAGUGAAAUCUAGGGGCUCAACCCCUAAACUGCUUUUGAAACUGUAUCCCUUGAGUAUCGGAGAGGCAGGCGGAAUUCCUAGUGUAGCGGUGAAAUGCGUAGAUAUUAGGAGGAACACCAGUGGCGAAGGCGGCCUGCUGGACGACAACUGACGCUGAGGCGCGAAAGCGUGUGGAGCAAACAGGAUUAGAUACCCUGGUAGUCCACGCUGUAAACGAUGAAUACUAGGUGUGGGGGGACUGACCCCCUCCGUGCCGCAGUUAACACAAUAAGUAUUCCACCUGGGGAGUACGAUCGCAAGAUUGAAACUCAAAUGAAUUGACGGGG
rnacentral:rRNA from 1 species